UCCCCUGGGUCCGGGCGCUGUCCAGUGGGGCACAGGUGGCUGUGGGCGGGGACGGAAAGAGGCGGUGGCAGCGGUUCGUCCCACCCACCUCCCUUGCUGUGCAGUUUGGUGUACUUCGACAGAUCGAGGUUCCGAAAGUUAUGCUCGGCCUGGCCUGUAGAACCUGCGCCGUAGCUUCUUCCUGCGUAGCGGGUGUCCGACUCCUCUAGGUUUCUCCCUAUACACCCGGUGGAACUCAGACUUGAGAUCCUCCUGCCUCAGUUUCCUGCGCAUCUGGGAUUGUAGAUACACACCGCCACACUCAGCUUGUCUUCGUCGUUUUUCGGUGUAGGGUUUGGAGGCAUUGAGUGUAUUUACACCGCUGUGCAGUCAUCACCACCAUUCUUUUCUAGCACGGUUCGUGGUCCCAGAUUCCCUAACUUCCGAUUCUUCAUCCCCCCACAACGCCUGACAGCCGCCAUUCUAAUUUAUCUCCACGAAUGUGCAUGUGCACUGCUUAUGAGGAGAGUCCUAGAGUAUCUGUAUUGAGCUUGUUUAAAUUCCUCCAGAGUCUUCAUCCGUGUAGCAGCACGCGUUGGGGUUUCCUUCGUCCUUAUGCAUGAGUAGUGUUUUGGCUUUUGUGAGUGCCACAGCUCUGAACUACUCCACGGCAUUUUCAGAAAGAAUGGAGGAAGAAGAGGUACACAGCUAAUAGUUAUGUUGGAUAUCUGUAGUUUUACUUCAAGAUACAUCCACGUGGUCAGUAUAUGAAUUGCUGCUUUUGUGGGAGAUGUCUGCCCUGAACACGUCUAGCUGCUCCAAGGUGACGAUCUGACAUUUCAAAAACACUAAUCACAAAGUGCGACUCCAAAGGCAGUAUCUGCAGGCUUCGGCCACCUCUGUCUCCAAUCAGGACCAGAGAACUUGAGAGCUAACAUAAUACCUGUAACUAUUGCUUUUUUAAAAAACUGAAUUGCUGCCUAAGAUUUGUGGAUUGGCUAAAAAUGCCAAAAAGUUUUCUUGCUUCUCUAGGAACAGAGUGUUAAAAUCUAGGCAGUCCAGUAACAAUACCUGUAAGAUUGUGUGUGUACAGCGUGUUUCAGAGGAGUCCACCCUUCUGACCCCAUCCAGAGGGCUAGCUCGUCUUCCUGUGGCCAUAUCACCUCUGGAGAAU